UGGUGAGGUGGUUUGAAACAAUUCAUCCUA
rnacentral:piRNA from 1 species